rnacentral:rRNA from 1 species
GAUGAACGCUAGCGGCAGGCCUAACACAUGCAAGUCGAGGGGCAUCGCGGUGCAGCAAUGCACUGGCGGCGACCGGCGUACGGGUGCGUAACGCGUAUGCAACCUGCCCCGCACCGGGGGAUAGCCCGCCGAAAGGCGGAUUAAUACCCCAUGGUCCCGGGGGCCCGCAUGGGCUACCGGGUAAAGCCUUGGCGGUGCGGGAUGGGCAUGCGUGCCAUUAGCUGGCUGGUGGGGUAACGGCCCACCAGGGCGACGAUGGCUAGGGGGUCUGAGAGGAUGGUCCCCCACACUGGUACUGAGACACGGACCAGACUCCUACGGGAGGCAGCAGUGAGGAAUAUUGGUCAAUGGGCGGAAGCCUGAACCAGCCAUGCCGCGUGCGGGAUGAAGGCCCUACGGGUUGUAAACCGCUUUUCCCCGGGAAGAAUAACCCCGACGCGUCGGGGAUGCUGGUACCGGGGAAUAAGGAUCGGCUAACUCCGUG